rnacentral:rRNA from 1 species
AGUCGAACGGCAGCACGGAGCUUGCUCUGGUGGCGAGUGGCGAACGGGUGAGUAAUAUAUCGGAACGUACCCUAGAGUGGGGGAUAACGUAGCGAAAGUUACGCUAAUACCGCAUACGAUCUAAGGAUGAAAGUGGGGGAUCGCAAGACCUCAUGCUCGUGGAGCGGCCGAUAUCUGAUUAGCUAGUUGGUAGGGUAAAAGCCUACCAAGGCAUCGAUCAGUAGCUGGUCUGAGAGGACGACCAGCCACACUGGAACUGAGACACGGUCCAGACUCCUACGGGAGGCAGCAGUGGGGAAUUUUGGACAAUGGGCGAAAGCCUGAUCCAGCAAUGCCGCGUGAGUGAAGAAGGCCUUCGGGUUGUAAAGCUCUUUUGUCAGGGAAGAAACGGUGAAAGCUAAUAUCUUUUGCUAAUGACGGUACCUGAAGAAUAAGCACCGGCUAACUACGUGCCAGCAGCCGCGGUAAUACGUAGGGUGCAAGCGUUAAUCGGAAUUACUGGGCGUAAAGCGUGCGCAGGCGGUUUUGUAAGUCUGAUGUGAAAUCCCCGGGCUCAACCUGGGAAUUGCAUUGGAGACUGCAAGGCUAGAAUCUGGCAGAGGGGGGUAGAAUUCCACGUGUAGCAGUGAAAUGCGUAGAUAUGUGGAGGAACACCGAUGGCGAAGGCAGCCCCCUGGGUCAAGAUUGACGCUCAUGCACG